rnacentral:tRNA from 1 species
UGUUAGCUCAGGGGUAGAGCAAGUGACUCUUAAUCAUUGGGUCGAGGGUUCGAAUCCCUUACAGU